rnacentral:rRNA from 1 species
GUGGGGAAUUUUGGACAAUGGGCGCAAGCCUGAUCCAGCAAUGCCGCGUGCAGGAAGAAGGCCUUCGGGUUGUAAACUGCUUUUGUACGGAACGAAACGGUCCUGGUUAAUACCUGGGGCUAAUGACGGUACCGUAAGAAUAAGCACCGGCUAACUACGUGCCAGCAGCCGCGGUAAUACGUAGGGUGCGAGCGUUAAUCGGAAUUACUGGGCGUAAAGCGUGCGCAGGCGGUGCUGUAAGACAGGCGUGAAAUCCCCGGGCUCAACCUGGGAAUUGCGCUUGUGACUGCAGUGCUGGAGUACGGCAGAGGAGGAUGGAAUUCCGCGUGUAGCAGUGAAAUGCGUAGAUAUGCGGAGGAACACCGAUGGCGAAGGCAGUCCCCUGGGCCUGUACUGACGCUCAUGCACGAAAGCGUGGGGAGCAAACAGGAUUAGAUACCCUGGUAGUCC